rnacentral:rRNA from 1 species
UACGGAGGGGGCUAGCGUUGUUCGGAAUUACUGGGCGUAAAGCGCGCGUAGGCGGACCUGCAAGUCGGGGGUGAAAGCCCGAGGCUCAACCUCGGAACUGCCUUCGAUACUGCGGGUCUCGAGUCCGGGAGAGGUGAGUGGAAUUCCUAGUGUAGAGGUGAAAUUCGUAGAUAUUAGGAAGAACACCAACGGCGAAGGCAGCUCGCUAGGACGGAACUGACGCUGAGGCGCGAAAGCGUGGGGAGCAAACAGG